CGGGGUCAGCAGCGCACAGCAGGGCAGGCAGAAAAGAAGGGUCUCGUGCUUGGCAAAUGUAGUAAUGGCCAUAUCAAAGUGAGGCAGUGACAAUGACUCUCCUAAAAUGCCACCUGCCACCAGAAGGACCUAUGACCUCCUGAGACAUCCAAAGGUGAUUCAUCCAAUUCCAGCAUUUGCAAAUCAGGUUGCUUCCCUCUUCAGCAAAGCACAUCAUCCAGCAGGAGGGAAAGCUUUUAUGCUUUGACAGCAUACUGGAGAAGAACUCUCCCGGGAAUAUGCACUAUAUCUACUCUGGAGAUGCAAGACAACUAGCAAAUUACCAAGGUUAUUAGUGAAUACCCUAUUAAUAAAUUUCCCUGACAGAAAUGCUCAGGCAAGAUACUCAGAAAUUCAUGUUCCUUUAAUAAAAAUAAAUGUAAUAACA